GAGCGAACAGAAGGGAGCUUGCUCCCGGAUGUUAGCGGCGGACGGGUGAGUAACACGUGGGUAACCUGCCUGUAAGACUGGGAUAACUCCGGGAAACCGGAGCUAAUACCGGAUAGUUCCUUGAACCGCAUGGUUCAAGGAUGAAAGACGGUUUCGGCUGUCACUUACAGAUGGACCCGCGGCGCAUUAGCUAGUUGGUGGGGUAAUGGCUCACCAAGGCGACGAUGCGUAGCCGACCUGAGAGGGUGAUCGGCCACACUGGGACUGAGACACGGCCCAGACUCCUACGGGAGGCAGCAGUAGGGAAUCUUCCGCAAUGGACGAAAGUCUGACGGAGCAACGCCGCGUGAGUGAUGAAGGUUUUCGGAUCGUAAAGCUCUGUUGUUAGGGAAGAACAAGUGCGAGAGUAACUGCUCGCACCUUGACGGUACCUAACCAGAAAGCCACGGCUAACUACGUGCCAGCAG
rnacentral:rRNA from 1 species